UACAGAGGGGGCAAGCGUUGUUCGGAAUUACUGGGCGUAAAGGGCUCGUAGGCGGCCAACUAAGUCGGAUGUGAAAUCCCCAGGCUUAACCUGGGAACUGCAUCCGAUACUGGAUGGCUUGAAUCCGGGAGAGGGAUGCAGAAUUCCAGGUGUAGCGGUGAAAUGCGUAGAUAUCUGGAGGAAUACCGGUGGCGAAGGCGGCAUCCUGGACCGGCAUUGACGCUGAUGAGCGAAAGCUAGGGGAGCAAACGGGG
rnacentral:rRNA from 1 species